UUUCAAGGCCAGCUGUCCCACAUAAAAGGAGGUGCCUACAAUUCAGCGGGGACUCUGGAAACCCCUCUGGGUACAUCCAAAAGUUCGAUUAUUGGCUUUAGGUAUGGAGUAGCCUUAAAUCUCCAGGCUAGCUGUCCCACCCAAAAGGAAUUGCCUACAAUUCAACGGGGAUGGUGGAAACCCCUCUGGGUACACCCAAAA